AGGAACAGUGACAGAGAGAGAAGAAGCGGUCCUAUCACAAGAUCACACUGUUGAUGAUCAUAAAGAAGAUGCUAAGGAUGAGAGUGAAGAUCAAACAAAAAAUCAAGCAGACGCUGGGCAGAGCACAGACUGAAAAUAUAAGGAAUACACAUAACCUCCAAUAUUUAUUGUGUCACACUUCUAUUCUUGCCUGGGGUGAACAAUAUGACUGAUGUAAAUAAUAAAUAUUGUUCUAGUCUGUGUAUUUACCUGCCUGUAACAGAUGCAGGUUUCAUUUAUUUGAAGAAAAACACACGUAUAUUACAUUUGAUACAGAACAUAUAAUAUAAUGUAAAUACUUGUGUACAUUUGAUACAUUUUGUGUUUUAGUGUCACUGUUUGCUAUGUGUUGGCAGUUGUUGUUCAGUUGUUGUGAUGGUGUGUUGUGUUCCUUAUUAAGAUUCACGUGAUCUCAUCAUGUUACCAUAUCUUAAUGAUACUGAGUACAUUUUAACAGUGGAAAAGAUAGUUUAACCUAAAACUGUAAUCUUCAUUUUAAUUAAAUUUAUCAGAAUUUUUUGCCGACAUGUAAUAGCAAACCUGCUUCACUUUUCUCUUAGAUUGCUUUAGUGUAACAUGAAAGAAGAAAGUCAAAGAAAGAUGUUCUUUAUUUUAUGCUGUUUGGCUCAUUUGACCAUUUUACACAUUGUUUUGGAAUAAAAACGAAUCCUAAAAAAAAUCAA